rnacentral:rRNA from 1 species
UGAGCAACCUGCCCUUAGCUCUGGGAUAACCCCGGGAAACCGGGGCUAAUACCGGAUACGAGUCCGAGCGGCAUCACACGGACUGGAAAGUUUUUCGGCUAAGGAUGGGCUCGCGGCCUAUCAGCUUGUUGGUGGGGUAAUGGCCUACCAAGGCGACGACGGGUAGCCGGCCUCAGAGGGCGACCGGCCACACUGGGACUGAGACACGGCCCAGACUCCUACGGGAGGCA